rnacentral:rRNA from 1 species
ACAGCUAUAAUUUACUUGAUCUUGACUAUCCUACUUGGAUAACUGUGGUAAUUCUAGAGCUAAUACAUGCACCAAAGCUCCGACUUACGAACGAGCGCAUUUAUUAGACCAAAACCAAUCGGGCUUCGGCUCGUUUGUUGGUGACUCUGAAUAACUAAGCUGAUCGCACGGUCUUGCACCGGCGACGUGUCUUUCAAGUAUCUGCCUUAUCAACUUUCGAUGGUAGUUUAUGUGCCUACCAUGGUUGUAACGGGUAACGGAGAAUAAGGGUUCGACUCCGGAGAGGGAGCCUGAGAAACGGCUACCACAUCCAAGGAAGGCAGCAGGCGCGCAAAUUACCCACUCUCGGCACGAGGAGGUAGUGACGAAAAAUAACGAGACCGUUCUCUAUGAGGCCGGUUAUCGGAAUGGGUACAAUUUAAACCCUUUAACGAGGAUCUAUGAGAGGGCAAGUCUGGUGCCAGCAGCCGCGGUAAUUCCAGCUCUCAAAGUGUAUAUCGUCAUUGCUGCGGUUAAAAAGCUCGUAGUUGGAUCUGCGCCUCAGGACUCGGUCCGCCCACUGGGUGUGAACUGGGAUCCUAGGCUAAUACUGCUGGUUUUCCCUUCGUGGCCUUCACUGGUUGCGUUGGGUGGCUAGCGAGUUUACUUUGAAAAAAUUAGAGUGCUUAAAACAGGCUAUUGUCUGAAUACUCGUGCAUGGAAUAAUAGAAUAGGACCUCGGUUCUAUUUUGUUGGUUUUCUGAACUGAGAUAAUGGUUAAGAGGGACAGACGGGGGCAUUCGUAUCGCUGCGUGAGAGGUGAAAUUCUUGGACCGCAGCGAGACGCCCUACUGCGAAAGCAUUUGCCAAGAAUGUCUUCAUUAAUCAAGAACGAAAGUCAGAGGUUCGAAGGCGAUC